rnacentral:rRNA from 1 species
CCUACGGGAGGCUGCAGUGAGGAAUAUUGGUCAAUGGACGAGAGUCUGAACCAGCCAAGUAGCGUGAAGGAUGACUGCCCUAUGGGUUGUAAACUUCUUUUAUAUGGGAAUAAAACGUUCCACGUGUGGGAUUUUGUAUGUACCAUAUGAAUAAGGAUCGGCUAACUCCGUGCCAGCAGCCGCAGUAAUACGGAGGAUCCGAGCGUUAUCCGGAUUUAUUGGGUUUAAAGGGAGCGUAGGUGGAUUGUUAAGUCAGUUGUGAAAGUUUGCGGCUCAACCGUAAAAUUGCAGUUGAAACUGGCAGUCUUGAGUACAGUAGAGGUGGGCGGAAUUCGUGGUGUAGCGGUGAAAUGCUUAGAUAUCACGAAGAACUCCGAUUGCGAAGGCAGUUCACUGGACUGCAACUGACACUGAGGCUCGAAAGUGUGGGUAUCAAACAGGAUUAGAUACCCCUGUAGUC